rnacentral:rRNA from 1 species
UACGAAGGGGGCUAGCGUUGCUCGGAAUCACUGGGCGUAAAGGGUGCGUAGGCGGGUCUUUAAGUCAGGGGUGAAAUCCUGGAGCUCAACUCCAGAACUGCCUUUGAUACUGAGGAUCUUGAGUUCGGGAGAGGUGAGUGGAACUGCGAGUGUAGAGGUGAAAUUCGUAGAUAUUCGGAAGAACACCAGUGGCGAAGGCGGCUCACUGGACCGGUUCUGACGCUGAGGCGCGAAAGCGUGGGGAGCAAACGGG